rnacentral:tRNA from 1 species
GAGGCAGUAGCUCAGUCUUAGAGCUCCCGCCUCGUAGGUGGGAGACCUGGGUUCGACCCCAACAGCUUCC